CACCACCAAGCGUCCACUCUCAGCAGCAGCAGAUAACCCUACACAAGAGGCUCACCCAGAGACUGAACCCCAACAUAAUGCACCAGCAGAGAGCGGUUCACAGUCAACAGAAACAGCCCUAUCACCUGCAUCACUUCCAGGGGGACCAAGCCUAGGUUCACAAUCCACUGAGGAACUGAUGUUUCCAGCAUCAAGGGAACAGUUCCAGACCGAACAGGAAGCAGAUGAAUGCCUCCAGAGAGCUUGGACGGUGGCACGGAGCAACCCAACGCCUCUCAGCUCUUCUAAUCGAUCC